CUACGGGAGGCAGCAGUGAGGAAUUUUGCGCAAUGGGGGAAACCCUGACGCAGCAACGCCGCGUGAGCGAAGAAGGCCUUCGGGUCGUAAAGCUCUGUCAAGUGGGAAAAAAAUCUUUUGAUCAAUAGUCAAAAGACUUGAUGGUACCACUGGAGGAAGCACCGGCUAACUCCGUGCCAGCAGCCGCGGUAAUACGGAGGGUGCAAGCGUUGUUCGGAUUUACUGGGCGUAAAGAGCGUGUAGGCGGUUUAGCAAGUCAGCUGUGAAAGCCCUGGGCUCAACCCGGGAAGUGCAUUUGAAACUGCUUCACUAGAGUAUGGGAGAGGAGAUUGGAAUUCCUGGUGUAGAGGUGAAAUUCGUAGAUAUCAGGAGGAACCCCCGUGGCGAAGGCGAUUCUCUGGACCAAUACUGACGCUGAGACGCGAAAGCGUGGGGAGCAAACAGGAUUAGAUACCACUGUAGUC
rnacentral:rRNA from 1 species